rnacentral:miRNA from 1 species
GCAGCAGAGAAUGGGACUACGUC